rnacentral:RNase_P_RNA from 1 species
UGGAUCGGGUAAUCGCUCGGAUAUAGUCCGAGAGGAAAGUCCAUGCUCACACAGUCUGCGAUGACUGUAGUGUUCGUGCUUGACGAAAUAAUAAGUCAAGGCAGCAUAAGCUGACGGCAGCGUCGAUUUCUAAGUAUUCGUAUAUGAAAUCGUGCUUGAAAGUGCCACAGAGACGAGUUUACAUAGAAAUAUGUAAAGUGGAACGCGGUAAACCCCUCGAGUGAGCAAUCCAAACAAGGUAGGAGCACUCUUUGCGAGGAAAUGAACUCAAAAAAGAGAUAUUACGAUAGUAAUAUAGACAGAUGAUUAUCACUGCUGUGUGAGUGUAAACUAGUGCACGUUCAACACGGUAGUACAGAACAUGGCUUACAGAG